AGUUCCGACCUGCACGAAUGGCGUAACGACUUCUCCACUGUCUCAACCGCGAACUCGGUGAAAUUGCAUUACGAGUAAAGAUGCUCGUUACGCGCAGCAGGACGGAAAGACCCCGGGACCUUUACUAUAGCUUGGUAUUGGUGUUUGGUACGGUUUGUGUAGGAUAGGUGGGAGACUGUGAAGCCGUCACGCUAGUGGGGGUGGAGUCAUUGUUGAAAUACCACUCUGAUCGUGCUGGAUGUCUAACCUUGGACCAUGAUCUGGUUCAGGGACAGUGCCUGGUGGGUAGUUUAACUGGGGCGGUUGCCUCCUAAAUGGUAACGGAGGCGCUCAAAGGUUCCCUCAGCCUGGUUGGUAAUCAGGUGGCGAGUGUAAGUGCACAAGGGAGCUUGACUGUGAGACUGACAAGUCGAGCAGGUACGAAAGUAGGAACUAGUGAUCCGGCGGUGGCUUGUGGAAGCGCCGUCGCUCAACGGAUAAAAGGUACCCCGGGGAUAACAGGCUGAUCCUGCCCAAGAGUUCAUAUCGACGGCAUGGUUUGGCACCUCGAUGUCGGCUCGUCGCAUCCUGGGGCUGGAGUAGGUCCCAAGGGUUGGGCUGUUCGCCCAUUAAAGCGGUACGCGAGCUGGGUUCAGAACGUCGUGAGACAGUUCGGUCCCUAUCCGCUGCGCGCGUUGGAAACGUGAGAAGGGCUGUCCCUAGUACGAGAGGACCGGGACGGACGAAC
rnacentral:rRNA from 1 species